rnacentral:rRNA from 2 species
GAAUGCUGACAUAAGUAACGAUAAAGCGGGUGAAAAGCCCGCUCGCCGGAAGACCAAGGGUUCCUGUCCAACGUUAAUCGGGGCAGGGUGAGUCGACCCCUAAGGCGAGGCCGAAAGGCGUAGUCGAUGGGAAACGGGUUAAUAUUCCCGUACUUGGUGUUACUGCGAAGGGGGGACGGAGAAGGCUAUGUUGGCCGGGCGACGGUUGUCCCGGUUUAAGCGUGUAGGUGUGUGUUCCAGGUAAAUCCGGUUCACUUUAACACUGAGGCGUGACGACGAGGCACUACGGUGCUGAAGCAACAAAUGCCCUGCUUCCAGGAAAAGCCUCUAAGCAUCAGGUAACAUCAAAUCGUACCCCAAACCGACACAGGUGGUCAGGUAGAGAAUACCAAGGCGCUUGAGAGAACUCGGGUGAAGGAACUAGGCAAAAUGGUGCCGUAACUUCGGGAGAAGGCACGCUGACACGUAGGUGAAGUGAUUUACUCAUGGAGCUGAAGUCAGUCGAAGAUACCAGCUGGCUGCAACUGUUUAUUAAAAACACAGCACUGUGCAAACACGAAAGUGGACGUAUACGGUGUGACGCCUGCCCGGUGCCGGAAGGUUAAUUGAUGGGGUCAGCGCAAGCGAAGCUCCUGAUCGAAGCCCCGGUAAACGGCGGCCGUAACUAUAACGGUCCUAAGGUAGCGAAAUUCCUUGUCGGGUAAGUUCCGACCUGCACGAAUGGCGUAAUGAUGGCCAGGCUGUCUCCACCCGAGACUCAGUGAAAUUGAACUCGCUGUGAAGAUGCAGUGUACCCGCGGCAAGACGGAAAGACCCCGUGAACCUUUACUAUAGCUUGACACUGAACAUUGAGCCUUGAUGUGUAGGAUAGGUGGGAGGCUUUGAAGUGUGGACGCCAGUCUGCAUGGAGCCGACCUUGAAAUACCACCCUUUAAUGUUUGAUGUUCUAACGUGGACCCGUGAUCCGGGUUGCGGACAGUGUCUGGUGGGUAGUUUGACUGGGGCGGUCUCCUCCUAAAGAGUAACGGAGGAGCACGAAGGUUGGCUAAUCCUGGUCGGACAUCAGGAGGUUAGUGCAAUGGCAUAAGCCAGCUUGACUGCGAGCGUGACGGCGCGAGCAGGUGCGAAAGCAGGUCAUAGUGAUCCGGUGGUUCUGAAUGGAAGGGCCAUCGCUCAACGGAUAAAAGGUACUCCGGGGAUAACAGGCUGAUACCGCCCAAGAGUUCAUAUCGACGGCGGUGUUUGGCACCUCGAUGUCGGCUCAUCACAUCCUGGGGCUGAAGUAGGUCCCAAGGGUAUGGCUGUUCGCCAUUUAAAGUGGUACGCGAGCUGGGUUUAGAACGUCGUGAGACAGUUCGGUCCCUAUCUGCCGUGGGCGCUGGAGAACUGAGGGGGGCUGCUCCUAGUACGAGAGGACCGGAGUGGACGCAUCACUGGUGUUCGGGUUGUCAUGCC